rnacentral:hammerhead_ribozyme from 1 species
AUCCUGAUGAUGAGUCCCAAAUAAAACGAAACCAACGUCUUGGAU